rnacentral:lncRNA from 1 species
GCCUGGUCUACAGAGUGAGCUCCAGGACAGCCAGGGCCACACAGAGAAACCCUGUCUCAAACAAACAAAAAGAAGAAAGAUUUAUUUAUUUUUAUGUGUGAUUGCUCUAACUGCACGUGCACCAUUGUGCCAGAAGAGGGCAUUAGAUCCUAUUAUAAAAUGGUUGUCAGCCACUAUGUGGUUGCUGGAAGUUGAACUCAGGACCUCUAGAAAAGCAGCCAGGCUCUUAACCACUGAGCCAUCUCUCCAGCCCCAAUUUUGAAAUUCUUUUUUUAAUGAAAGCUUCUUUUAAAAUAGUUACUUAUUCCAUAUGGUGGCACAUACCUUUAAUCCAGCACUUGGGAGGCAAAGGUAGGUGGAUCUCUGUGAGAUUGAGAUCACCCUGGUCUACAGAGAGAAUUCAGGACAGCCUGGGCUACACAGAGAAAAACCCUGUCUCCAAACACACACACACACACACACACACACACACACACACACACACACAACCAGUUACUUGUUUUUCUGUGUAUGUUUACAUGGGGUGGGAGCACAGACAAGCACAGUAGCAGGCUGAAGGUCAGAAGACUGUAGGAGUUGAUUCCCUCCUUGUACUUUUUGGGUCCCGGGGCUAAACUCAAUGAUUGUAGGCAAUUUUACUCUCAGAGCCAUUUCAGGGGCCCUCAUGAAUUCUUUCAUUUGAAAUAGAGCCUCACUGAGUAUCCCUGGCUGGCCUUUAAUUUCCUAGACCAGCAUGGCCUCAGAUUUUUAGUGACCUUUCUGUCCCAGACCCCCAAGUACUGAGAUUACUGGCAAGUUACAAAAAAGAAACACUGG